AAUAGAUACCCAGGUAGUCCACGCCGUAAACGAUGAGUGCUAAGUGUUAGAGGGUUUCCGCCCUUUAGUGCUGCAGCAAACGCAUUAAGCACUCCGCCUGGGGAGUACGGUCGCAAGACUGAAACUCAAAGGAAUUGACGGGGGCCCGCACAAGCGGUGGAGCAUGUGGUUUAAUUCGAAGCAACGCGAAGAACCUUACCAGGUCUUGACAUCCUUAUGACUUCUCUAGAGAUAGAGCUUUCCCUUCGGGGACAUAAGUGACAGGUGGUGCAUGGUUGUCGUCAGCUCGUGUCGUGAGAUGUUGGGUUAAGUCCCGCAACGAGCGCAACCCUUGAUCUUAGUUGCCAGCAUUCAGUUGGGCACUCUAAGGUGACUGCCGGUGACAAACCGGAGGAAGGUGGGGAUGACGUCAAAUCAUCAUGCCCCUUAUGACCUGGGCUACACACGUGCUACAAUGGAUGGUACAAAGGGUAGCGAGACCGCGAGGUUUAGCCAAUCCCAUAAAACCAUUCUCAGUUCGGAUUGCAGG
rnacentral:rRNA from 1 species